rnacentral:rRNA from 1 species
GCUUAGAAGCAGCCAUCCUUUAAAGAGUGCGUAAUAGCUCACUAGUCGAGGGGUUCUGCGCCGAAAAUUAUCGGGGCUAAACUAUACACCGAAGCUGCGGGAUUCUUUAUGAAUCGGUAGGGGAGCGUUCUCAAUGCACUGAAUCUGAAUUGUGAAAUUUGGUGGAGCGUUGAGAAGUGAGAAUGUCGGCAUGAGUAGCGACAAUCUUUGUGAGAAUCAAAGACACCGGAAGUCCGAGGUUUCCUACGCAACGUUGAUCGGCGUAGGGUUAGUCGGUCCUAAGGAGAAGCCGAAAGGUGAAUUCGAUGGACAGCUGGUCAAAAUUCCAGCACCGUAAUUAUCCUGUUAUGCAACGAAGGGACGCGAUAAGGACUGUUAAGCAUGCCUAUGGACAUGGUGUGUGGGGCCUUGUAGGGAAGUGAUUGUGGUUAAAAGAACAGUUACGUUAUUAACUGAGAAGGUUUCAGACCUUAAGGCUUCGGCCUUAGGGAAUUUAACACGAACUAUGUCGCCAAGAAAAGCUUCGUUGAUAGGGAUAUUAUGACCGUACCGAAAACCGACACAGGUGGACAGGGGUAAAAGCCCCAAGGUGAACGAGAAAACCAUCCUCAAGGAACUCGGCAAAUUAACCCCGUAACUUCGGAAUAAGGGGAGCCUAAAAUAUAUAGACUUCGCGUUGAAAGUAUUUUAGGCCGCAGAGAAUUGGUCUGAGCGACUGUUUAUCAAAAACACAGGUCCGUGCUAAAGCGAAAGCUGAUGUAUACGGGCUGACGCCUGCCCAGUGCCGGUAGGUUAAAGUGAAGAGUGAGAGCUUUGAUCUGAAGCCCCGGUGAACGGCGGCCGUAACUAUAACGGUCCUAAGGUAGCGAAAUCCCUUGUCGGGUAAGUUCCGACCUGCACGAAAGGCGUAACGACUUGGACACUGUCUCGAGGGUGGACUCGGUGAAAUUGCAUGACCCGUAAAGAUGCGGGUUACGCGCAGCAGGACAAAAAGACCCCGUGGAGCUUUACUGCAGCUUGGCAUUGAAUUGUGAUUAAUGAUGUGUAGGAUAGGCGGGAGACUAUGAAUUUUGAGCGUCAGCUCAAUUGGAGUCGCCCUUGAAAUACCGCCCUUCUUUGGUCUUGAUUCUAACUUUUUUAGGACAGUGUCUGGUAGGCAGUUUGACUGGGGCGGUCGCCUCCUAAAAUGUAACGGAGGCGCCCAAAGGUAACCUCAGGCUGGAUGGAAAUCAGCUUUUGAGUGCAUUGGCAUAAGGUUGCUUGACUGCGAGACCAACAAGUCGAGCAGGGACGAAAGUCGGGCAAAGUGAUCCCACGGUACCGAGUGGAAGGGCCGUGGCUUAACGGAUAAAAGCUACCCCGGGGAU